rnacentral:rRNA from 1 species
GCUUCGCUCCCGGAUGUUAGCGGCGGACGGGUGAGUAACACGUGGGUAACCUGCCUGUAAGACUGGGAUAACUCCGGGAAACCGGAGCUAAUACCGGAUAGUUCCUUGAACCGCAUGGUUCAAGGAUGAAAGACGGUUUCGGCUGUCACUUACAGAUGGACCCGCGGCGCAUUAGCUAGUUGGUGGGGUAAUGGCUCACCAAGGCGACGAUGCGUAGCCGACCUGAGAGGGUGAUCGGCCACACUGGGACUGAGACACGGCCCAGACUCCUACGGGAGGCAGCAGUAGGGAAUCUUCCGCAAUGGACGAAAGUCUGACGGAGCAACGCCGCGUGAGUGAUGAAGGUUUUCGGAUCGUAAAGCUCUGUUGUUAGGGAAGAACAAGUGCGAGAGUAACUGCUCGCACCUUGACGGUACCUAACCAGAAAGCCACGGCUAACUACGUGCCAGCAGCCGCGGUAAUACGUAGGUGGCAAGCGUUGUCCGGAAUUAUUGGGCGUAAAGGGCUCGCAGGCGGUUUCUUAAGUCUGAUGUGAAAGCCCCCGGCUCAACCGGGGAGGGUCAUUGGAAACUGGGAAACUUGAGUGCAGAAGAGGAGAGUGGAAUUCCACGUGUAGCGGUGAAAUGCGUAGAGAUGUGGAGGAACACCAGUGGCGAAGGCGACUCUCUGGUCUGUAACUGACGCUGAGGAGCGAAAGCGUGGGGAGCGAACAGGAUUAGAUACCCUGGUAGUCCACGCCGUAAACGAUGAGUGCUAAGUGUUAGGGGGUUUCCGCCCCUUAGUGCUGCAGCUAACGCAUUAAGCACUCCG